UUGUGAUGAUUGUAACUGACAACUGAAUGAAAACCCCAAAUUUAGUAUCUUAGGCAAUUAGAAUUUGGUGAAAAGGUUGAAUAUUGAAAACACCUGGUGCCUCACUCUAAUCAGCUAUUUAACACAAAACUCCUGCAAAGGCCUUUAAUUGGUUUCUCAGUCUAGUUCUGUAGGCUACACGAUCACGGGGAAGACUGCUGACUGGACAGUUGUCCAAAGGAUGACCAUUGACACCUUUCAAGACACAGGAGGUCAUUGCAAAACAGGCUGAAUGUUCUCAGAGCUCUGUGUCCAAUCACAUUAAGAGAGAGGCGAAGGGAAAGAUGUGGUAAAAAAAAAGCAAGCCACGCUGGAACAACAAACGCCGUCAGAAGCGUCUCGCCUGGGCUGAAAAAAAAAAACGACUGGACUGCUGCUGAGCCCUCCAAAGUUAUGUGCUCUGAUGACUUGACUCCUCAAAGCUACCAGUACCUGUUUUAAGGACAACGAUAUCCCUGUUCUUUAUUGAUCAGCCAACUGGCCUGACCUUAACCCCAUAGAAUGUCUAUGGGGUAUUGUGAAGAGGAAGCUGCGAUAUGGCAGAGCCAACAAUGCAGAAGAGCUGAAGGCCACUAUCAGAGCAACCUGGGCUCAUAACAUUUGUGUGUGUGUAAUAAAUAAAUAUAAUAUAGUU